CCCUUAGAUGUUCUGGGCCGCACGCGUGCUACACUGAGUGGAUCAGCGGGUCAGGUUGCGCGAAAGCGUUUCCUAAUCUUUAAAUCCGCUCGUGAUGGGGAUUGACGGUUGCAAUUUUCUGUCAUGAACGAGGAAUACCUUGUAAGCGCGGGUCAUCAUCCCGCGCUGAAUACGUCCCUGCCCUUUGUACACACCGCCCGUCGCUCCUACCGAUUGAAUGGUCCGGUGAAAUCUUCGGAUUGAGACUUUGAUUUCUUCACGGAAAACGCUGUUUUAAGAAGUUGAUUAAACCUUACCAUUUAGAGGAAGGUGAAGUCGUAACA
rnacentral:rRNA from 1 species